rnacentral:rRNA from 1 species
UGACCCGUCUUGAAACACGGACCAAGGAGUUUAUCGUGUGCGCAAGUCAUUGGGUGUUGAAAACUCAAAGGCGCAAUGAAAGUAAAGAAUCCGCAAGGAUACGACGUGUGAUCUGAGCAAUCACGAUUGCCUGGAGCAACAUGGCCCCAUUCUGGUCGCUUGCGACGGGGUGGAGGAAGAGCGUACGCGGUGAGACCCGAAAGAUGGUGAACUAUUCCUGAGCAGGAUGAAGCCAGAGGAAACUCUGGUGGAAGUCCGAAGCGAUUCUGACGUGCAAAUCGAUCGU